rnacentral:rRNA from 1 species
UACGUAGGGUGCAAGCGUUAAUCGGAAUUACUGGGCGUAAAGCGUGCGCAGGCGGUUGUGCAAGGCAGAUGUGAAAUCCCCGGGCUUAACCCUGGGAAUUGCAUUUGUGACUGCACGGCUAGAGUGUGUCGAGAGGGGGGUAGAAUUCCACGUGUAGCAGUGAAAUGCGUAGAUAUGUGGAGGAAUACCGAUGGCGAAGGCAGCCCCCCUGGGAUAACACUGACGCUCAUGCACGAAAGCGUGGGGAGCAAACAGG